GACAGAGGCCUCAAGCGUUAGGCGGAAUCACUGGGCUUAAAGCGUGUGUAGGCGGAUCGUUAAGUGCCUUGUGAAAUCCCACGGCUUAACUGUGGAACGGCUGGGCAUACUGGCGGUCUUGAGCCAUCUAGGGGCGACUGGAACAAACGGUGGAGCGGUGAAAUGCGCAGAUAUCAGGUGGAACACCGAUGGCGAAGGCAGUGGUCUGGGCCGGCACUGACGCUGAAUAGCGAAAGCGUGGGUAGCGAACAGG
rnacentral:rRNA from 1 species